UACGGAGGGUGCAAGCGUUAUCCGGAUUCACUGGGUUUAAAGGGUGCGUAGGCGGGCAGGUAAGUCAGUGGUGAAAUCUUCGAGCUUAACUCGGAAACUGCCGUUGAUACUAUCUGUCUUGAAUGUCGUGGAGGUGAGCGGAAUAUGUCAUGUAGCGGUGAAAUGCUUAGAUAUGACAUAGAACACCGAUUGCGAAGGCAGCUCACUACACGAUUAUUGACGCUGAGGCACGAAAGCGUGGGGAUCAAAC
rnacentral:rRNA from 1 species